rnacentral:rRNA from 1 species
AGAGUUUGAUCCUGGCUCAGGAUGAACGCUAGCUACAGGCUUAACACAUGCAAGUCGCGGGGCAGCAUGAAGGAUGCUUGCAUCCUUUGAUGGCGACCGGCGCACGGGUGAGUAACGCGUAUCCAACCUGCCUGUUACCACGGCACAGCCCGUCGAAAGGCGGAUUAAUGCCGUAUGUGGUCCUUUGCGGGCAUCUAAUUAGGACUAAAGGUUCGGCGGUAACGGAUGGGGAUGCGUCCGAUUAGCUAGACGGCGGGGUAACGGCCCACCGUGGCGACGAUCGGUAGGGGUUCUGAGAGGAAGGUCCCCCACACUGGAACUGAGACACGGUCCAGACUCCUACGGGAGGCAGCAGUGAGGAAUAUUGGUCAAUGGGCGUAAGCCUGAACCAGCCAAGUCGCGUGAGGGAUGAAGGUUCUAUGGAUCGUAAACCUCUUUUAUAAGGGAAUAAAGUGCGGGACGUGUCCCGUUUUGUAUGUACCUUAUGAAUAAGGAUCGGCUAACUCCGUGCCAGCAGCCGCGGUAAUACGGAGGAUCCGAGCGUUAUCCGGAUUUAUUGGGUUUAAAGGGUGCGUAGGCGGCCUUUUAAGUCAGCGGUGAAAGUCUGUGGCUCAACCAUAGAAUUGCCGUUGAAACUGGGGGGCUUGAGUAUGUUUGAGGCAGGCGGAAUGCGUGGUGUAGCGGUGAAAUGCAUAGAUAUCACGCAGAACCCCGAUUGCGAAGGCAGCCUGCCAAGCCAUUACUGACGCUGAUGCACGAAAGCGUGGGGAUCAAACAGGAUUAGAUACCCUGGUAGUCCACGCAGUAAACGAUGAUCACUAGCUGUUUGCGAUACACUGUAAGCGGCACAGCGAAAGCGUUAAGUGAUCCACCUGGGGAGUACGCCGGCAACGGUGAAACUCAAAGGAAUUGACGGGGGCCCGCACAAGCGGAGGAACAUGUGGUUUAAUUCGAUGAUACGCGAGGAACCUUACCCGGGCUUGAAUUGCAGAGGAAGGAUUUGGAGACAAUGACGCCCUUCGGGGCCUCUGUGAAGGUGCUGCAUGGUUGUCGUCAGCUCGUGCCGUGAGGUGUCGGCUUAAGUGCCAUAACGAGCGCAACCCUUGCCACUAGUUACUAACAGGUAAAGCUGAGGACUCUGGUGGGACUGCCAGCGUAAGCUGCGAGGAAGGCGGGGAUGACGUCAAAUCAGCACGGCCCUUACAUCCGGGGCGACACACGUGUUACAAUGGCGUGGACAAAGGGAGGCCACCUGGCGACAGGGAGCGAAUCCCCAAACCACGUCUCAGUUCGGAUCGGAGUCUGCAACCCGACUCCGUGAAGCUGGAUUCGCUAGUAAUCGCGCAUCAGCCAUGGCGCGGUGAAUACGUUCCCGGGCCUUGUACACACCGCCCGUCAAGCCAUG